rnacentral:lncRNA from 1 species
ACUAUAUAACGGUGUGACCGCUCAGAGCACCACCAUCCUGAGGCCCGCUGGGUGGGAACUCAUCCAAGUCGAGCUCACUUGCCCGGGAGCACUGCAGGGAAAUCUGUGUAGAGCCUUGAAAUGGAAAAUGCACGGAUACAACUUGGGAGCCUGACAUGGUGAGUCACGUUGCCAGCAAAAGCAACCCUGAGCAGAUGAUGAUCCCUAAGACCGCUGCUUCCUGAACCUGAACUUAAGCUGUAGGCUCUGAUGCAGUCAGUUGAGGGUGGGAGCUAGGCUGCAUUACCAACGGAUGCUGACCAUCCAGGUGAUGCUGAUGCUGCCCUUCCUGAGGACCACGGUGUGCGGCAUAGCAAGACCUUCGUCAGCAUGCAGCCAGUGCCCUGCUGGCUGAACACUGCCAGAGGGUGGCUGGAGGUGAGCUCAGGUGACAAAGUUGAGGUCUCAGAAUGGAACUCAAAGUCCUCUGGAGAGAUGCUCCAUGUCAAUCUGGAUAAAGAGGCUCCUUUAGAAUGGAGGGGGUGCACAGCAUUGCCAGAGGCUUGGCUUGGAGAAUGCCUGCAAUCAGGACCUUUCCAGAGAAACUCAUGUGUAACUGGUGAUGGUUCCUUAGCUAAGCCUGGUUCCUGAAUGGUUGUCCAGCACUGAGUGAAUGACCAGUGAACCAGUUCCCAACACUGACUGUGACCCGAGAAGAGUCCUGAGAGGCAGUUUCUGCCGCUCAUGUUCACUGUUAUUGAAAUAAACUUUUAAAGGGACUUGGAGAUUUUCUUAACAGCUAUCUCACCUGCUGGAUAGAGGAAAGGAGAGGGAGAGAGGCAGAGGGGAGAGGAAGACAAGAAAAAGAGGAGGUAGCACUAUUAGUCUAGGAUGCUUCCACCUCGUGAUCUGUAGUGUGUCUGCUCCAUGCAUUUUUUAAAGCAACACUUGACCUAGUUCUGACUUUCUAUUCAGUUGGACUUGGGGUAGUUUAUUAGUCCAUACACAGAGGACGGAGCGGAGGGAAAACCAAAGGAGAUGGCAGUCAUGCAAAUGUAGUAGUUGCGAGACAGACUUGAUCACAUGGACUAUUAUCUCUGUCCUGCUAUGCUAGCACCCACAUGGUAGUUUAAAAUACCCGUGACUUUCAGGGUUGCGUAGGGAUUUGAACAUCUGCAGGUUGGUUGGUAGCGUCUUCUUGAGAUACUUCCUCCCUGACGAGAGGUGUGAUUCAACAGGGAGAGGACACCCUCUGGGCUCUGUAGAGGAGAGCUGAUUGGUUUCCUUUAGCGUGAUGUUUGAUGAGUCAUUCUUCACCUAGGAGUUCUCUUAGGAUCUGCAGUCAAUCAGACAAUUUGCUUGAUCCAUUUAAAGUCACAUUAUUAUUAUUAUUGCUAUUAUUAUCAUUAAUUACUCAAAGGAGUGCUUUUGUUUUAUGCUUCAGGUGAAAUUCACAUAACAAAAUCCACUAUUUUAAAGGCAGCAAUACAGAAACCUGUAGUGUCUUUGUGACAUUGCACAACUUCCCCUUGUAUCCAGUUCCCAAACAUUUUUAUCACUCCCACAGGGAAGCCUCGCAUCCAUUAAGUUGUUACUGCUUGAUGCUGGCUCCCUCCUUCCGGAACCUGGUCACCGCCAAUUUACUUUCUCUGUGGUUCCCGGUCUGGGUAUUUUACAUAAGUGAAUUCCAACCAUGUGUGGCCAUUUGCUAAGUCACAUCUCCUUAAGAAUAAACAUUAUGGUUCUAGGGAAACCUAACAUUACUGAGUGCUUACAGCACAAGGCGUGCGACCCUUACAAGUAGACUCCAUAUACAGAUAAGAACAUGGAGAUUCGGAGAAUUGCCCGAGACCCAUACCUUCUGGCCGAGCAACGAAGAGGCUUCCAUAGCCAGGCCCACCUUCACUAGGGCAUUUCCCACUCACUGUGGCUCUGGCUCAGCAUCCUCUGUCACCUUGCAGACAGAUGCGUAGAUACUCCUUCUCAAGUUUAACAACUUCACAGAGCCCUGACUCGAAUUCCGAAUGCAGCGUUAGUUGCUUCCAGCUGCUUUUUUUCUUUUAGCGGUAAGUCCAGGCAAACUCCUUUGAAGAGCUCAUUAAAACUGCUAAAAUAAAGUCUUAGAAACAGGUGCAUUCAUUAGCAGAAAAUGCAGACGAUUAUGUUAAUAUCACAUUCAGGUGACAAAUUUAAAGGCCUCAGACUCAUGAAGGAUAAAAGGACCCCCCCCCCCCACCCAGGCUAGAGUUAACUUCUUUUGUGGGGUUUUGUUCUGGAUAGCACAUGACUGACUACAGCUGUCCAAAGUGGGAAACCUGCAGUGUUAGUUCACAAAAAUAAAGCUGAUCUGUGAUAUCAUGCUCCUCUUUAUGAUUUCUUGGAUCUCUAGUUAUGAAAAGAAAGCUGAGGGAUUGUCUACAACCUUACGGUCGGAUCUAGCUUGCCAUUGGUAACUUAUUGCCCACCAGGCCCAAAGAUGAUUGAUUCGGAUAUGUCGACAGGCAGGGCAUUGCUUAGUUUGGCUGCAUACACAGACCCUGGUUCUCUGCACUGGAGGAGUAAAUCAGUGUAGGCAAUGAUUUUCAGUUUGGACCAAAAAAUUAUUUUUACUGUGCUCUUUUUUUAAUUUAAAAAAUAUUGAGCCUGCAAUAAGAUUGUGUAAAGUCUUUGUUUUGAGAUGUGCACAUUUUUUGUAUUUCCCAGAUUUUCUACAGUGAAUUUUCAAUUUUGAAAUAAAAAUAUUCAUUUGCUU